CACUGCCGAGAAAAGCCUCUAGAUAGAAAAUAGGUGCCCGUACCGCAAACCGACACAGGUAGUCAAGAUGAGAAUUCUAAGGUGAGCGAGCGAACUCUCGUUAAGGAACUCGGCAAAAUGACCCCGUAACUUCGGGAGAAGGGGUGCUCUUUAGGGUUAACGCCCAGAAGAGCCGCAGUGAAUAGGCCCAAGCGACUGUUUAUCAAAAACACAGGUCUCUGCUAAACCGUAAGGUGAUGUAUAGGGGCUGACGCCUGCCCGGUGCUGGAAGGUUAAGAGGAGUGGUUAGCUUCUGCGAAGCUACGAAUCGAAGCCCCAGUAAACGGCGGCCGUAACUAUAACGGUCCUAAGGUAGCGAAAUUCCUUGUCGGGUAAGUUCCGACCCGCACGAAAGGCGUAACGAUUUGGGCACUGUCUCAACGAGAGACUCGGUGAAAUCAUAGUACCUGUGAAGAUGCAGGUUACCCGCGACAGGACGGAAAGACCCCGUGGAGCUUUACUGUAGCCUGAUAUUGAAAUUCGGCACAGCUUGUACAGGAUAGGUAGGAGCCUUUGAAACGUGAGCGCUAGCUUACGUGGAGGCGCUGGUGGGAUACUACCCUAGCUGUGUUGGCUUUCUAACCCGCACCACUUAUCGUGGUGGGAGACAGUGUCAGGCGGGCAGUUUGACUGGGGCGGUCGCCUCCUAAAAGGUAACGGAGGCGCUCAAAGGUUCCCUCAGAAUGGUUGGAAAUCAUUCAUAGAGUGUAAAGGCAUAAGGGAGCUUGACUGCGAGACCUACAAGUCGAGCAGGGUCGAAAGACGGACUUAGUGAUCCGGUGGUUCCGCAUGGAAGGGCCAUCGCUCAACGGAUAAAAGCUACCCCGGGGAUAACAGGCUUAUCUCCCCCAAGAGUUCACAUCGACGGGGAGGUUUGGCACCUCGAUGUCGGCUCAUCGCAUCCUGGGGCUGUAGUCGGUCCCAAGGGUUGGGCUGUUCGCCCAUUAAAGCGGUACGCGAGCUGGGUUCAGAACGUCGUGAGACAGUUCGGUCCCUAUCCGUCGUGGGCGUAGGAAAUUUGAGAGGAGCUGUCCUUAGUACGAGAGGACCGGGAUGGACAUACCUCUGGUGUACCAGUUGUCGUGCCAACGGCAUAGCUGGGUAGCUAUGUGUGGACGGGAUAAGUGCUGAAAGCAUCUAAGCAUGAAGCCCCCCUCAAGAUGAGAUUUCCCAACUUCGGUUAUAAGAUCCCUCAAAGAUGAUGAGGUUAAUAGGUUCGAGGUGGAAGCAUGGUGACAUGUGGA
rnacentral:rRNA from 1 species